GGACCCGCACAAGCAGCGGAGCAUGUGGUUUAAUUCGAAGCAACGCGAAGAACCUUACCAGGACUUGACAUCCUUCUGACAGAUCCUUAAACGGAUCCUCCUUCGGGCAGAAGUGACAGGUGGUGCAUGGUUGUCGUCAGCUCGUGUCGUGAGAUGUUGGGUUAAGUCCCGCAACGAGCGCAACCCUUGUCUUUAGUUGCCAUCAUUAAGUUGGGCACUCUAGAGAGACUGCCGGGGAUAACUCGGAGGAAGGUGGGGAUGACGUCAAAUCAUCAUGCCCCUUAUGUUCUGGGCUACACACGUGCUACAAUGGCUGGUACAGAGAGACGCAAGACCGUGAGGUGGAGCAAAACUCCAAAACCAGCCCCAGUUCGGAUUGCAGGCUGCAACUCGCCUGCAUGAAGCCGGAGUUGCUAGUAAUCGCGAAUCAGAAUGUCGCGGUGAAUGCGUUCCCGGGUCUU
rnacentral:rRNA from 1 species